UCCCUGGUGGCUGAGAGAUUAAAACGUCUGCCUGCAAUGCAGGAGACCAGGGUUCGAUCCCUGGAUCGGGAA
rfam:Ovis aries breed Texel chromosome 2, whole genome shotgun sequence.